rnacentral:rRNA from 1 species
CAGCCGCCGCGGUAAUACGUAGGGUGCAAGCGUUAAUCGGAAUUACUGGGCGUAAAGCGUGCGCAGGCGGUUUGUUAAGACAGAUGUGAAAUCCCCGGGCUCAACCUGGGAACUGCAUUUGUGACUGUCAAGCUAGAGUAUGGCAGAGGGGGGUGGAAUUCCGCGUGUAGCAGUGAAAUGCGUAGAUAUGCGGAGGAACACCGAUGGCGAAGGCAGCCCCCUGAGCCAAUACUGACGCUCAUGCACGAAAGCGUGGGGAGCGAACAGGAUUAGAUACCCCAGUAGUCCCUGUCUCUUAUAA